rnacentral:rRNA from 1 species
CUACGGGACGCAGCAGUGAGGAAUAUUGGUCAAUGGGCGGAAGCCUGAACCAGCCAAGUCGCGUGAGGGAAUAAGGCCCUACGGGUCGUAAACCUCUUUUGCCGGGGAGCAAGGGCGGGGACGUGUCCCGGCCCGGAGAGUACCCGGAGAAAAAGCAUCGGCUAACUCCGUGCCAGCAGCCGCGGUAAUACGGAGGAUGCGAGCGUUAUCCGGAUUUAUUGGGUUUAAAGGGUGCGGAGGCGGGCUUUUAAGUCAGCGGUAAAAAUUCGGGGCUCAACCCCGCCCGGCCGUUGAAACGGGGGGCC